GACAGUCUCACUUGAGCUUUUCCAGGAUUCAACAGGCUAAUCUUCAUCCAGUUGCCAGUCACAACCAAGCCCUUGGAGAAGUGGAAGACAGUGUUAUCUGAGUCUGAUAUGAAAAAGAUAUUGAACAGGAUUGGGGAGAGGAGGUAUCCCUGUGAAACAACCACAGAAAAAAGGACUAGACGUGGAGGAGCCAGUGCACAUCAGAAGUGUGGAUUAAUACCUCUCAGGCUUCCGGAGGAGAUGAUAUUCAACAGAAUUGUCUGUGUUCAGCGUGGAAAGCUUCUCUCAGGCCAGAUUCUGCCCCAAGAUACUAACAUCUCCAGACCUUAGGAAGUCUGGAUCCAGUUCAAAACUUGCACAACUGAUAGCUGGCUCUACAAGAGGCAACACUUGAUCCAUGUCUCCACUCCCUGGAAUUAGGGGAUGAUUGGAUCUAGAUGUGAACUUUGUGACUAAAGCCCAUUGCUGUUCUGUUAAAUCCUGUG